UAAUAAAAAAAAAAACUGUGGGUUUUCAAAAUAUCAAAGGACUACAUGGACUAAAGUAACAAACAUACAACAGGCAAACUUUGUGUUUAUAUACUACCGGUAGUAUAUUUUUCCUUAAUUAUUAAGCCAAGGUUCCAAAAGAAUAUGGUGCACAGUUGGGUAAUUUCCUGAUCUCAGGUAAUACCACAUAUGAAAUAUGUGCCUCUUUUCAGAAAAAUAGGCCACUUCACGGUUAUUUCGGCCAUAUUGAACGUGUGAUUGUUUUUUAAAUAGGUGAAAAUAGCAUGAGAUUAUGGGAAAUCUAUGUAUGUUUCCCAGCAUCUACUUUGUUUUAAUGAUGUUUUCACAUAUUUUUCAGACCAAUUUUACCUCCAUUAUGAAAUUCUGCCACUUUUUAAUAUGGCCAAACUAAUUGAGAAGGGGCCUAUUCUAAUCAACAUAACUAUGAAUUUGUAUUUCUUUUGGCAAAAAAAACCCAACUCAAAAUAGGAAGUAUGAGAAAAUAUGGACUUUGGUUAAAUAUUUAGCUAGUUGUUAUAUAUGUUUCAAUGUCUCUAUCAGAUCCUUAGAUAUUUUGCUGACUAGAUAAGCAUAGCACAAAACAUUUGUAACAUAAAUUUAUUUGCAAAUAAUUCUUGCUGUUCUACACAUAAAAUGUUAAAAAAUAAUGGGACCAUUUCGUUACUUUCCAGGUAAAUGAUAGAAUUUUCUAUAGUUCACAAUCUAUAAAAUGGAUUUUUUGCUUUUCAAACACUGUCGAACUAUUUACUGGAUAUUUUUUUUGUUAUUUCCAAUUUUUAUUCAUACAUGACUAUAUUCUAGCAAUAUGUAGUAGGUGGGAUUGCCAAUAAAGAUUUUAUCAUAUUUCAAAAUGUAUAAAUUUUCCAAAUUACAUAGGAUUCUGCACAAGUCAUGCCAAUUAUAAAAUCCAUAUGUGAGUCAUUUAAGUCACCAGAAGGCUGACUUUUUGGUUUAUAAGGAGCCUAAACCAUAACUACAAGCUGGGUUAUAUGCAUUUGUUUAUAUAAUUGAGACUUGCUUGAUGUCCCUGUAUAGUUUGCAUUUAAUUCCUAGGGACCAAUUUAUUGAUUUUUAAAUGGCAGUUUAACAUUGAGACAUUUACAACACCAGGGCUUUUUUGUAGCAAGAACAUACUUUAUCUGAACACAUGGUAAAUUGUCAUAAGGUCAUCUUCAAUCAGAAAACACUUCUAUUUUAAGUAAGUUAUUACUUUUCUCAUGAUUGGUACACCCUGCUUAGUAUUUAAAAUAAAAACAACCUAAAAUAUAUAUAUAUAUAUAUAUAUUGUAUAUGUACUGCUUACAAUAUCGUUUUUUCAUAACAACCAGACACCUCUGUAAGAAUGACAGUUGGCCUAAAUGGCCAUAAUCAUCUACAGGUUCUUUAUGUAUCUAUAGAUAUAGACAUACUAUUGUCAUUCUUUAUAACACUAACAUUUCAGAGGUAUAUGCUGUUCUGUUGGGUAAUUCUCUAAAAUCUCUGAAUUCGUUGAUCUACAAUGACAAUAGAGUUAUCAAAGUUAACAGUGGAUUUUAUUAUGUCAAACCUGCAAUAACGGUCAUCUUUAUAUAGCAAUAACCUGCUAGUCAUCUUCUUCUUAUCCUACUGUAGUUAUACCAAUGCAUUCUGACCCUCAAUUCAAAGAUCAUAUCACUAAUAAAUCAGUAUUCUCCUGUCCUAUAGUUUACCUUUACAAACAUACUCGACUGUUUAUUUUGUGGAACAGCAAACUUAUUUUAGCUUUACUUCACUCCAAGAAUCAGUUGGCAGUAGAAAUUCAAACAUUUUUCUUUAUUAUUAUUCAACAGAAACUCAAUACAUAUAUAUAGAUGUAAUAACUAUUGUAUUUCUUUAUUCUAAAAGCUAACAUUUCAGAGGAAUAUUCUAU
rnacentral:lncRNA from 1 species